GACGAACGCUGGCGGCGUGCUUAACACAUGCAAGUCGAACGGUGAAGCGCCUUCCUUUUUGGUGGGUGUGGAUGAGUGGCGAACGGGUGAGUAACACGUGAGUAACCUGCCCCCUUCUUCUGGAUAACCGCAUGAAAGUGUGGCUAAUACGGGAUAUUCUGGGUCUGUCGCAUGAUGGGUCUGGGAAAGAUAUUGUUUCGGUGGGGGAUGGGCUCGCGGCCUAUCAGCUUGUUGGUGGGGUGAUGGCCUACCAAGGCGGUGACGGGUAGCCGGCCUGAGAGGGUGGACGGUCACACUGGGACUGAGACACGGCCCAGACUCCUACGGGAGGCAGCAGUUGGGAAUAUUGCACAAUGGGCGCAAGCCUGAUGCAGCGACGCCGCGUGAGGGAUGGAGGCCUUCGGGUUGUGAACCUCUUUCGCCAGUGAAGCAGGCCUGCCUCGUUUGUGGGUGGGUUGACAGUAGCUGGAUAAGAAGCGCCGGCUAACUACGUG
rnacentral:rRNA from 1 species